UUUACUUUGGCAGAAAUAUGCAUUAGAUUUAGGAUCUAAUUAUGUAAGAAAUAUCUUUCAAGUAAAA
rnacentral:tRNA from 1 species